CGGUGCUGGAAGGUUAAGAGGAGAGGUUAGCGUAAGCGAAGCUUUGAAUUCAAGCCCCAGUAAACGGCGGCCGUAACUAUAACGGUCCUAAGGUAGCGAAAUUCCUUGUCGGGUAAGUUCCGACCCGCACGAAAGGCGUAAUGAUUUGAGCACUGUCUCGACAAUGCAUCCGGUGAAAUUGAAGUACCAGUGAAGAUGCUGGUUACCCGCGCCAGGACGGAAAGACCCCAUGGAGCUUUACUCCAGUUUGGUACUGGGAUUCGGUACUGCAUGUACAGGAUAGGUGGGAGACUAAGAGAUAGGAACGCCAGUUUCUAUGGAGUCACUGUUGGGAUACCACCCUUGUAGUACUGGGUUUCUAACCUGCAGCCGUUAUCCGGCUGGGGGACAAUGCCAGGCGGGGAGUUUGACUGGGGCGGUCGCCUCCGAAAGGGUAUCGGAGGCGCUCAAAGGUUCCCUCAGAAUGGUUGGAAACCAUUUGAAGAGUGCAAAGGCAGAAGGGAGCUUGACUGCGACACCGACGGGUGGAGCAGGUACGAAAGUAGGACUUAGUGAUCCGGUGGUAUAAAGUGGGAUUGCCAUCGCUCAACGGAUAAAAGCUACCCUGGGGAUAACAGGCUUAUCACUCCCAAGAGUUCACAUCGACGGAGUGGUUUGGCACCUCGAUGUCGGCUCAUCGCAUCCUGGGGCUGUAGCAGGUCCCAAGGGUUGGGCUGUUCGCCCAUUAAAGCGGUACGCGAGCUGGGUUCAGAACGUCGUGAGACAGUUCGGUCCCUAUCCGGCGCGGGCGGAGGAUAUUUGAGAGGAGCUACCCCUAGUACGAGAGGACCGGGGCGGACGGACCACUGGUGUACCAGCUGUCUACCAAAGGCAUAGCUGGGUAGCCAAGUCCGGAAGGGAUAAACGCUGAAGGCAUCUAAGCGUGAAGCCCCCCUCAAGAUGAGAUAUCCCGUCCUUUAAGGACAUAAGAUCCCUUAUAGAGUAUGAGGUAGAUAGGGCAAAGGUGGAAGCGUAGUAAUACGUGUAGCUGAUUGUUACUAAUCGAUCGAAGGCUUGACCAU
rnacentral:rRNA from 1 species